GACGAACUCUGGCGCGCGUGCUUACACAUGCUAGUCGAACGGAAAGGCCCUGAUUUUGUGGGGUGCACGAGUGGCCAACGGUCGAAUAACACACGGGUAACCAGACCUUGACUUGGCGAUAACUUCUUGAAACUGGGGCUAAUACCGGAUAGGAGCUCCUGCUGCAUGGUGGGGGUUGGAAAGUUACGACGUGAGGUCAUGGCACUCUCUCCUUAUCAUCUUGCCGGCGGGCUAGCGACAUAGCCCAGCUGUAACGAGGAGCCUGACUGAAAGGGUGACCCUCCACGUUGGAACUGACAUACCGUCCCAACACCUACGGUAAGCACCACCGUGGAAUAUUGGACAACGCUGGGAAGACUGAUACAUCUACCCCUCGAGCGGGAUGACGGACUUCAGGAUGUAAACCGGUUUCUCCUGUGACUAAGCAUGAGAGACGGUGAUGCGUCAAGAAUCCCCGGCUAACUACAUGCCAUCAACCGCCAAGAUACCUAUCGUGCUACCCAUGUCCAGAUUUAUUGGGCGUAAAGGGCUCGUAGGUGGUUGAUCGCGUCGGAAGUGUAAUCUGGGGGCGUAUCCUUGAGCGUGCUUUCGAUACGGGUUGACUGAUGGAAGGUAGGGGAGAGAGUAAUUCCCUGGUGGAGCGGUGGAAUGCGCACAUAUCAGGAGGAACACCAGUGGCGAAGGCGGCUCUCUGGGUUGCUUCUGACGCUGAGGAGCGAAAGCGUGUGGAGCGAACAGGCUUAGAUACCCUGGUAGUCCACGCUGUAAACGGUGGGUACUAGGCGUGGGGUCCAUUCCACGGGUUUAUCGCCGUAGCUAUCGCUUUAAGUACCCCGCCUGGGGAGUACUACCGCAAGGCUAAAACUCAAAGGAAUUGACGGGGGCCCCCACAAGCGGCGGAGCAUGCGGAUUAAUUUGAUGCAACGCGUAGAACCUUACCACCGUCUUGACAUGGAUCGGGAGUGCUCAGAGAUGGGUGUGCCUCUUUUGGGGUCGGUUCACAGGUGGUGCAUGGCUGUCUGUCAGCUCGUGUCGUGAGAUGUUGGGUUAAGUCCCGCAACGAGCGCAACCCUUGUUCACUGUAGCCAGCACGUUAUGGUGGGGACUCAGUGGAGACCGCCGGGGUCAACUCGGAGGAAGGUGGGGAUGACGUCAAGUCAUCAUGCCCCUUAUGUCCAGGGCUUCACGCAUGCUACAAUGGCUGGUACAGAGAGUGGCGAGCCUGUGAGGGUGAGCGAAUCUCGGAAAGCCGGUCUCAGUUCGGAUUGGGGUGUGCAUCUCGCCGUCAAGCAGUCGGAGUCGUUAGUAAUCGCAGAUCAGCAACGGUGCGGUGAAUACGUUCCCGGGGCU
rnacentral:rRNA from 1 species